rfam:Lasallia pustulata genome assembly, contig: scaffold30_size581194
AGCAAUAUUGACACAACUCAUGAGAUACUGGGCAUCCCGUCCGCUCUGCCAAACAUAAGCUCGAGAUCGGCAGAUUCGUAGUUGGGUGGGUGACCACCAGCGAAUCCCUGCUGUUGUAUGUU